rnacentral:rRNA from 1 species
ACUCCUACGGGAGGCAGCAGUGAGGAAUAUUGGACAAUGGGCGGGAGCCUGAUCCAGCCAUGCCGCGUGCAGGGAAGACUGCCCUAUGGGUUGUAAACUGCUUUUGUACAGGAAGAAACACUCCCUCGUGAGGGAGCUUCGACGGUACUGUAAGAAUAAGGAUCGGCUAACUCCGUGCCAGAGCCCGCGGUAAUACGGAGGAUCCAAGCGUUAUCCGGAAUCAUUUGGGUUUAAAGGGUCCGUAGGUGGAUGAUUAAGUCAGAGGUGAAAUCCUGCAGCUCAACUGUAGAAUUGCCUUUGAUACUGGUUGUCUUGAAUUAUUGUGAAGUAGUUAGAAUAUGUGGUGUNGCAGGUGAAAAUGCAUAGAUAUCACAUAGAAUACCGAUUGCGAAGGCAGAUUACUAACAAUACAUUGACACUGAUGGACGAAAGCGUGGGGAGCGAACAGGAUUAGAUA